CCUGCGACGGCCUCUCGGGAGUAGGCGUUCAGCGCCGGGGGCCCAGUCGGCUGCCCCGCCCCGCCGUGGCUCCGCCCGCUCCGCCCCCACCCAGGCCACGCCCCACGCCGGCCCCGCCCGGGAGUAGGCGUUCAGCGCCGGGGGCACAGUCCGCUGCCGCGCCCCGCCUCGCCUGGCGCCUCGCUGCGCCCCUCGCCCGGAAUGAGGAACCUGAGAGAGAGGGACUUACCUCAGGUCACACGGGUCAGGCUGUAGGAGACAGAGAGGAGAAGCCAGACCUAGCUGUGUGGCCUGAGUGGAGCCGGCCUCUCCUGAGCGCCCUGCCGGUAGCGGAGGACGCCAGCCCGGCAGCGACCCCGACGAGGAGCCUUUGCCUUGCCUGAGCCUCAGUUUCCCUCUCUGUGAGCUCGGGCAGCUCUCCCCCGGCUCAGGAAGCCGCAGCCACACAGGUGCGGCUCCCAACUACAAGGUGGAGAUGGAGAUGGAGUUGGAGAGCCCGCAGCAAGGAGCGAGGGGCCACUCUGGCCACUGCGGACAGGGCUUGGCCUUCCCACGUUUGCGGCCCUAAGGAGCCUGAUGUGGAAACUGCCACGUGUCCAAGCGAGUGCUGCAUAUACUGUCUGCCCUCAGGACCCCACUCUGAGACCCACCCUAUGGAACAGCACCCCAGAACAGGAAGGAUGUUGGUACCAAACGUAACAGCUGAAACCACCCAAGGGUCCCUCAGCAGGUGGCUUCCCACAAGAACCAAGGGACAGACGGCCCCCUCCACAUAGCCCACAUCAGGAUGUAUUUGUAAGUGAUGGGAAACGACAAACAUGGCUUCAGAGGCAGCACGGACUCCUUAGGACCAUCUGCGGAACUCCUCAUGGCCCUAGCGUGGCUGUAGGAGCUCUAGGUAGGAUGCAGGGAAGGUUAUAGGACAAACUAGGGACUUUUCCCAAUGGCCACACUGGUCCUACCCAAAGUGCAGGAGACUAGAGUUGGAUCUUAACUGGCCCAGGACAGACGUAAGCUCCACAGCACUACUGGUGAGGGAGACACAGAGGGCGGGACCAAGGGGUC
rnacentral:lncRNA from 1 species